rnacentral:rRNA from 1 species
AACGAACGCUGGCGGCAGGCUUAACACAUGCAAGUCGAGCGCCCCGCAAGGGGAGCGGCAGACGGGUGAGUAACGCGUGGGAAUCUACCCAUCACUACGGAACAACUCCGGGAAACUGGAGCUAAUACCGUAUACGUCCUUCGGGAGAAAGCUUUAUCGGUGAUGGAUGAGCCCGCGUUGGAUUAGCUAGUUGGUGGGGUAAUGGCCUACCAAGGCGACGAUCCAUAGCUGGUCUGAGGGGUUGAUCAGCCACACUGGGACUGAGACACGGCCCACACGACGACGGGAGGCAGCAGUGGGGAAUAUUGGAAAAUGGGCGAAGGCCUGAGCCAGCCAUGCCGCGUGAGUGAUGACGGCCCUAGGGUUGUAAAGCUCUUUCGCAGGUGGAGGUAAUGGCGGUAUCCGGAGAAGAAGCCCUGGCUAACUUCGUGCCUGCCGCCGCAGUAACAC